AAAACUUUACAAUGCGGGAAACCGUGAUAAGGGGACACCGAGUGCCAGCAUCAUAUGCUGGCUGUCCGGGUGUGUAAAAUACACCUGUUAGCAAGGGCCGGGCAAGACCGGUGCCAGCCGCCGCGGUAACACCGGCGGCCCGAGUGGUGAUCGUGAUUAUUGGGUCUAAAGGGUCCGUAGCCGGUUUGGUCAGUCCUCCGGGAAAUCUGAUAGCUCAACUAUUAGGCUUUCGGGGGAUACUGCCAGACUUGGAACCGGGAGAGGUAAGAGGUACUACAGGGGUAGGAGUGAAAUCUUGUAAUCCCUGUGGGACCACCUGUGGCGAAGGCGUCUUACCAGAACGGGUUCGACGGUGAGGGACGAAAGCUGGGGGCACGAACCGGAUUAGAUACCCGGGUAGUCCCAGCCGUAAACGAUGCUCGCUAGGUGUCAGGCAUGGCGCGACCGUGUCUGGUGCCGCAGGGAAGCCGUGAA
rnacentral:rRNA from 2 species